rnacentral:rRNA from 1 species
UACGAAGGGGGCUCGCGUUGUUCGGAAUUACUGGGCGUAAAGCGCGCGCAGGUGGUCUUUCAAGUCAGUGGUGAAAGCCCGGAGCUCAACUCCGGAACUGCCAUUGAAACUGUUUAGCUUGAGGAUGAGAGAGGUGAGUGGAAUUCCCAGUGUAGAGGUGAAAUUCGUAGAUAUUGGGAAGAACACCAGUGGCGAAGGCGAGUCUCUAGACAACUCCUGACACUGAGGCACGAAAGCUAGGGGAGCAAACAGG